rnacentral:rRNA from 1 species
CCUACGGGUGGCAGCAGUGGGGAAUAUUGGACAAUGGGGGGAACCCUGAUCCAGCCAUGCCGCGUGUGUGAAGAAGGCCCUCGGGUUGUAAAGCACUUUCAGUGAGGAAGAACGCCUGGUGGUUAAUACCCAUCAGGAAAGACAUCACUCACAGAAGAAGCACCGGCUAACUCCGUGCCAGCAGCCGCGGUAAUACGGAGGGUGCGAGCGUUAAUCGGAAUUACUGGGCGUAAAGCGCGCGUAGGUGGCUUGAUAAGCCGGUUGUGAAAGCCCCGGGCUCAACCUGGGAACGGCAUCCGGAGCUGUCAAGCUAGAGUGCAGGAGAGGAAGGUAGAAUUCCCGGUGUAGCGGUGAAAUGCGUAGAGAUCGGGAGGAAUACCAGUGGCGAAGGCGGCCUUCUGGACUGACACUGCCACUGAGGUGCGAAAGCGUGGGUAGCACACAGGAUUAGAUACCCCUGUAGUC